AUGAAUAUGAAGUUGAGACAUCAAAUGGGCAAACAGUCACAAAGCGCAGAAGAACAAAGAGCACUGUGAUGUUUGGGGAACCCAAUCCUCAUAAGACAGCACGUACCAGGACCCCUGAUGCAAGCAAGAAUGUCACCAAAAUGACAAAGGUACCUAGCAGAGGGCCCCAACCCCAUCCUGCAAACAUAGGCGACCUCUUCUCAGAGGGUUCUUUGAAUCCUUACGCCGAUGAUCCUUAUGCAUUGGAUAAUUUAUGUAAACGUUUGUAAAAUUU